rnacentral:lncRNA from 1 species
AAGGUUAAAUAAGCUCAACAGCGAAAAUAUCAUGAAAUAACUGGGAAAAUAACAACAAUACUACUACAACCAUCCCAAUGAUCUAGUGUCAACGAGUACAUGAGCACUACUGAAUAUCAAAAUACAAAACUAAAUCCUCAUUAUAACUGUCUAAAUAGUAGAACACUAAUAAUAGAAAUAAUCAAAGAGAACUUCAAGGUCUGCGGACGACAUAGCAACUAUCUCGUAGUCUCCCAAAAUGCUGGUAGCAACAGAACUCUAGAGAUCACCUCAUCCAGAAGUACUUGGCUCUGCACACAAAGUGCAGAGUAUAGUAUGAGUACAACCGACCCCAUGCACUCAAUAAGUAACAAAAUUAACCUUGGAUUGAAAGAAGUGACGAGCUUCGAAACAACAAUCAGAGGCCAAUAUCAAUAACCAGUAACAAUUUAGAACAUAAAGAAAAAUAGUAGAAGCAGUAACUCAAUGAUAUUAUCCUCAGCUUGUUCACAUUUCAGAAAAUUAAGGCAUGCUUUCCAAGUAUAACAGUUUAAGCCCAACACGGAUAAAAUAUUUUAGUUACCAGCUAGCAUGAUGAGAGUAAAUCUCUAUGUCUACAUAUCAAAUAUACAUGUCAAAUCAAGAAUAUCCUAGUGACACCAACAAGAAUAACCAUGCAAUAACACUUAGCAUUAUAUGUGUAACUGGAAUAAAUGCCAUCAUCAAAGCACGUAUAUAAAAAUAUUGUGCCUGCGCCCAUUGUUAGUAUGUCAGAUUUCGGAGGGGCAGAUCCUGCCCAAGCACUAAUUAUAAUCACAUAGCCCAAAUAAUGGGGUUUGGUGCACGCGUCGCCCCAAAAUAAUAACACUUUGCUCAAUAUGAGCCUGACGUACGUAUCACCUCAAAAUCAAUACAGAAUCGUCUUUAUGGCACAAUCUCAAUCAUUAACUGCUCAAGUCUCAAAUAGGUGAGGAUAUCUGCUAUGUAUCUCCUGCUCGGUCUUCCAAGUGGCCUCCUUGACUGGCUGACCUCUCCAAUGAACCUUCACUGAUAUUAUAUUCUUUUAUCUCAACUUCCGAAUAUGCCGACCCAAAAUGGUCGUCGACUCCACAUCAGAAGUCAAAUCUCCAUUUAGGUUAAAAGAAAAGAAGGGUGGAUAGUGAAGAAGGGUGUUGGUAAUUGGGAGGAGAACAAAGAUGCUAGCCAAAAAGAAAACACUAGUUAAGAAAAAAAAAAUACCAUUAAGACUAAAGUAAAAGCACUUUUAGAGAAGGUUGCAGAGACUAGAAAGAAGAAGAGAAAACAGAGAGUUUAGGUUGAGAUAUGAGCCUUAUGAUGAUGUAGAGGCUAUAAAUAUUGAUGAUGAGGAGGAAGAAGAGGAGAUUCCUUAGAAGAGAAAGGGAAAGGAAAAGGCUGGUUCAUCCAGAACCACCCUAGAAAGGAAAACAAAAACAGCAAAAAACAAAAGAUGGAGUCUGACCUUGAGGAUAUAGGAACCAAUUCCAAAGAAGAAGGAAGACCAAAUAAAAGUUUGCUGUUGUGGGUAAAGAGAACUAGUUUAGUGACCUGAGUGUGUUGAAGAAAUGUGGAUGAGAGAGUUGAAGGAGAAGCUGAACUUCCAGCAGUGGACCCAUUUGCUUCUCUAUACACUUCAAAGGGUGCACGAGGAAGAUAUGUGCGAGUUUUACUCUAAGCCUAAACUAUUGGAGGAUGACACCGUAAGCACCAAUAUCGAAGGGGUAGAGAUGGUUUUCGAUGUUAAAAGACUAGGAUAGAUUCUAAGGUUCUAGAUAAUGGGUUUGACCCUUAUGUCAAAUAAAUAUGGAUUAAGGUUCAUGAGGAUUAGACAUAAAUAUAUCUAGCUGAUAAAUUCUCCCAGGGGUGGAAGAAAGAAGAUGAGAGAGUGUACAAGAGCUAUUAAACUGGUUCAUAAACUCAUUUAUGAGCUGGUGAACAAGUGUGUGCUGCCAAAGGAGGAAUGAAGUCACUACCUUGGACAUGGCAGUGAUGGAAGUGCUUGAUACAAAUAUGUUGCUAAACCAUCUUGCUCUAAUGAUCUAGGACAUGGCUAAGGUUGCCUCUCUAUCUAAGAGAAAGCAAACACUACCUUAUGGCUUUUGGCUCACUCGAGUGUUGGCUCACUUUGGGAUCCCAAUAAGAGAACGAAAGAACGAGACUAAGAAAAAUAUUAUUUGAUAGAGUUACAUUGGUGGAGUGUAACCUUCUGUACAAAAAACCAGUAUUAAGAGCAAUAGUAUGAUUACCCAGCUGAUCAAUGAAUUGAAAGAGGCCACAACAGAAAUUUAGAGGCUGAGUGUGGAGAAUGCGUCUCUGAAGGAGGAGAUAAAUAGUUGACGGAGAUGAUAAGAGAUCAAGAGGCUGCUACUUCCUGUCACGACCGACUGCUGCAACUUGUAUCCCCUACCCCUUCCUCCAGCAGAUAGACCUUGUCAUUAGUUUUGGUCUUAGCCUAGUCCAGUCC